UGAAGCGACUAAGCGUACACGGUGGAUGCCCUGGCAGUCAGAGGCGAUGAAGGACGUGCUAAUCUGCGAAAAGCGUCGGUAAGGUGAUAUGAACCGUUAUAGCCGGCGAUGUCCGAAUGGGGAAACCCAGUGUGAUUCGUCACACUAUCGUUAACUGAAUACAUAGGUUAACGAGGCGAACCGGGGGAACUGAAACAUCUAAGUACCCCGAGGAAAAGAAAUCAACCGAGAUUCCCCCAGUAGCGGCGAGCGAACGGGGAGCAGCCCAGAGUCUGAAUCAGCUUGUGUGUUAGUGGAACGGUCUGGAAAGUCCGACGGUACAGGGUGAUAGUCCCGUACACCAAAAUGCACAGGCUGUGAACUCGAAGAGUAGGGCGGGACACGUGGUAUCCUGUCUGAAUAUGGGGGGACCAUCCUCCAAGGCUAAAUACUCCUGACUGACCGAUAGUGAACCAGUACCGUGAGGGAAAGGCGAAAAGAACCCCGGCGAGGGGAGUGAAAAAGAACCUGAAACCGUGUACGUACAAGCAGUGGGAGCACCUUCGGGUGUGACUGCGUACCUUUUGUAUAAUGGGUCAGCGACUUAUAUUCUGUAGCAAGGUUAACCGUAUAGGGGAGCCGCAGGGAAACCGAGUCUUAACUGGGCGUUAAGUUGCAGGGUAUAGACCCGAAACCCGGUGAUCUAGCCAUGGGCAGGUUGAAGGUUGGGUAACACUAACUGGAGGACCGAACCGACUAAUGUUGAAAAAUUAGCGGAUGACUUGUGGCUGGGGGUGAAAGGCCAAUCAAACCGGGAGAUAGCUGGUUCUCCCCGAAAGCUAUUUAGGUAGCGCCUCGUGAAUUCAUCUUCGGGGGUAGAGCACUGUUUCGGCUAGGGGGUCAUCCCGACUUACCAACCCGAUGCAAACUACGAAUACCGAAGAAUGUUAUCACGGGAGACACACGGCGGGUGCUAACGUCCGUCGUGAAGAGGGAAACAACCCAGACCGCCAGCUAAGGUCCCAAAGUCAUGGUUAAGUGGGAAACGAUGUGGGAAGGCACAGACAGCCAGGAUGUUGGCUUAGAAGCAGCCAUCAUUUAAAGAAAGCGUAAUAGCUCACUGGUCGAGUCGGCCUGCGCGGAAGAUGUAACGGGGCUAAACCAUGCACCGAAGCUGCGGCAGCGACACUAUGUGUUGUUGGGUAGGGGAGCGUUCUGUAAGCCUGCGAAGGUGACCUGUGAGGGUUGCUGGAGGUAUCAGAAGUGCGAAUGCUGACAUAAGUAACGAUAAAGCGGGUGAAAAGCCCGCUCGCCGGAAGACCAAGGGUUCCUGUCCAACGUUAAUCGGGGCAGGGUGAGUCGACCCCUAAGGCGAGGCCGAAAGGCGUAGUCGAUGGGAAACAGGUUAAUAUUCCUGUACUUGGUGUUACUGCGAAGGGGGGACGGAGAAGGCUAUGUUAGCCGGGCGACGGUUGUCCCGGUUUAAGCAUGUAGGCUGGUUGUCCAGGCAAAUCCGGAUAAUCAAGGCUGAGGUGUGAUGACGAGGCACUACGGUGCUGAAGUAACAAAUGCCCUGCUUCCAGGAAAAGCCUCUAAGCAUCAGGUAACAUCAAAUCGUACCCCAAACCGACACAGGUGGUCAGGUAGAGAAUACCAAGGCGCUUGAGAGAACUCGGGUGAAGGAACUAGGCAAAAUGGUGCCGUAACUUCGGGAGAAGGCACGCUGGUGUGUAGGUGAAGCCCCUGCGGGUGGAGCUGAGACCAGUCGAAGAUACCAGCUGGCUGCAACUGUUUAUUAAAAACACAGCACUGUGCAAACACGAAAGUGGACGUAUACGGUGUGACGCCUGCCCGGUGCCGGAAGGUUAAUUGAUGGGGUUAUCCGUAAGGAGAAGCUCUUGAUCGAAGCCCCGGUAAACGGCGGCCGUAACUAUAACGGUCCUAAGGUAGCGAAAUUCCUUGUCGGGUAAGUUCCGACCUGCACGAAUGGCGUAAUGAUGGCCAGGCUGUCUCCACCCGAGACUCAGUGAAAUUGAACUCGCUGUGAAGAUGCAGUGUACCCGCGGCAAGACGGAAAGACCCCGUGAACCUUUACUAUAGCUUGACACUGAACAUUGAGCCUUGAUGUGUAGGAUAGGUGGGAGGCUUUGAAGCGUGGACGCCAGUCUGCGUGGAGCCAACCUUGAAAUACCACCCUUUAAUGUUUGAUGUUCUAACGUUGGCCCCUUACCGGGGUUGCGGACAGUGUCUGGUGGGUAGUUUGACUGGGGCGGUCUCCUCCCAAAGCGUAACGGAGGAGCACGAAGGUUAGCUAAUCCUGGUCGGACAUCAGGAGGUUAGUGCAAUGGCAUAAGCUAGCUUGACUGCGAGCGUGACGGCGCGAGCAGGUGCGAAAGCAGGUCAUAGUGAUCCGGUGGUUCUGAAUGGAAGGGCCAUCGCUCAACGGAUAAAAGGUACUCCGGGGAUAACAGGCUGAUACCGCCCAAGAGUUCAUAUCGACGGCGGUGUUUGGCACCUCGAUGUCGGCUCAUCACAUCCUGGGGCUGAAGUAGGUCCCAAGGGUAUGGCUGUUCGCCAUUUAAAGUGGUACGCGAGCUGGGUUUAGAACGUCGUGAGACAGUUCGGUCCCUAUCUGCCGUGGGCGCUGGAGAAUUGAGGGGGGCUGCUCCUAGUACGAGAGGACCGGAGUGGACGCAUCACUGGUGUUCGGGUUGUCAUGCCAAUGGCACUGCCCGGUAGCUAAAUGCGGAAGAGAUAAGUGCUGAAAGCAUCUAAGCACGAAACUUGCCCCGAGAUGAGUUCUCCCUGAGACUAUAAGUCUCCUGAAGGAACGUUGAAGACGACGACGUUGAUAGGCCGGGUGUGUAAGCGCAGCGAUGCGUUGAGCUAACCGGUACUAAUGAACCGUGAGGCUUAACCUU
rnacentral:rRNA from 1 species